UGCAGUCGAGCGGUAACAUUUCUAGCUUGCUGGAAGAUGACGAGCGGCGGACGGGUGAGUAACGCGUGGGAAUCUGCCUGGUAGUGGGGACAACAGUCGGAAACGACUGCUAAUACCGCAUACGCCCUUCGGGGGAAAGUGGGGGAUCUUCGGACCUCACGCUAUCAGAUGAGCCCGCGUCGGAUUAGCUUGUUGGUGAGGUAAAGGCUCACCAAGGCGAUGAUCCGUAGCUGGUCUGAGAGGAUGAUCAGCCACACUGGGACUGAGACACGGCCCAGACUCCUACGGGAGGCAGCAGUGGGGAAUAUUGGACAAUGGGGGCAACCCUGAUCCAGCCAUGCCGCGUGUGUGAAGAAGGCCUUCGGGUUGUAAAGCACUUUCAGCAGUGAGGAAAGGUGUGUCGUUAAUACCGGCAUGCUGUGACGUUAACUGCAGAAGAAGGACCGGCUAACUCCGUGCCAGCAGCCGCGGUAAUACGGAGGGUCCGAGCGUUAAUCGGAAUUACUGGGCGUAAAGCGCGCGUAGGUGGUUCAGUCAGUCAGAUGUGAAAGCCCCGGGCUCAACCUGGGAAUUGCACCUGAUACUGCUGAGCUAGAGUACGGUAGAGGGUAGUGGAAUUUCCGGUGUAGCGGUGAAAUGCGUAGAGAUCGGAAGGAACACCAGUGGCGAAGGCGACUACCUGGACCGAUACUGACACUGAGGUGCGAAAGCGUGGGUAGCAAACAGGAUUAGAUACCCUGGUAGUCCACGCCGUAAACGAUGUCAACUAGCCGUUGGGGGACUUGAUCCUUUAGUGGCGCAGCUAACGCGAUAAGUUGACCGCCUGGGGAGUACGGCCGCAAGGUUAAAACUCAAAUGAAUUGACGGGGGCCCGCACAAGCGGUGGAGCAUGUGGUUUAAUUCGAAGCAACGCGAAGAACCUUACCUACUCUUGACAUCCUGCGAACUUGGUAGAGAUACCUUGGUGCCUUCGGGAACGCAGUGACAGGUGCUGCAUGGCUGUCGUCAGCUCGUGUUGUGAAAUGUUGGGUUAAGUCCCGUAACGAGCGCAA
rnacentral:rRNA from 1 species